rnacentral:piRNA from 1 species
UGCAUCCUGUGUGCAGCUCUUAGGUC